AUUGAACGCUGGCGGCAUGCCUUACACAUGCAAGUCGAACGGCAGCAUGAUCUAGCUUGCUAGAUUGAUGGCGAGUGGCGAACGGGUGAGUAAUACAUCGGAACGUGCCCUGUAGUGGGGGAUAACUAGUCGAAAGAUUAGCUAAUACCGCAUACGACCUGAGGGUGAAAGUGGGGGACCGCAAGGCCUCAUGCUAUAGGAGCGGCCGAUGUCUGAUUAGCUAGUUGGUGAGGUAAAGGCUCACCAAGGCGACGAUCAGUAGCUGGUCUGAGAGGACGAUCAGCCACACUGGGACUGAGACACGGCCCAGACUCCUACGGGAGGCAGCAGUGGGGAAUUUUGGACAAUGGGCGAAAGCCUGAUCCAGCAAUGCCGCGUGUGUGAAGAAGGCCUUCGCGUUGUAAAGCACUUUUGUCCGGAAAGAAAUGGCUCUGGUUAAUACCUGGGGUCGAUGACGGUACCGGAAGAAUAAGGACCGGCUAACUACGUG
rnacentral:rRNA from 1 species